rnacentral:rRNA from 1 species
UAAAGACAUAUGAAUAUUCCGAUAAAUAAUAUCAAAUGAUACAAAUUCAAAGAANUUGGCGGUGUCUUAUAUUCUCAGGGGAACCUGUUGCUUAAUUCGAUAAUCCACGAAACUCAAUCCCUUUUUAGAAAAUCCAGCUUGUGUACUGCUGUCGUCAGUAAACCUUUAAAAGAUAGUUUACAAAAAUAAUAUAAAAUUAUUAACGUCAAGUCAAAGUGCAGCCUAUAAAAGUGGAGCAAAAUGGGUUACAAUCUUUUAUAAAGAUUACGAAUUCAGUAAUUAUAAUAGUGAUAAAGGUGGACUUGAUAGUAAUAUUAAAAUAAUAAUAAUAUGAACAAUUAAUCUAAGACAUGCACACAUCGCCCGUCGCUCU